AGCGAACGUUAGCGGCACGCCUAACACAUGCAAGUCGCACGAGAAGGGGGCAACCCCUGAAAGUGGCGCACGGGUGCGUAACACGUAGAUAACCUGCCCUGAAGAGGGGGAUAACGUUCCGAAAGGAGCGCUAAUACCGCAUAACGCAGCGAGUGGUUCGCCACUUGCACAAAGGUAGGGACCGGCAACGGCCUAUCGCUUCGGGAGGGGUCUGCGGCCCAUCAGCUAGUUGGGGAGGUAAUGGCUCACCAAGGCAGAGACGGGUAGCUGGUCUGAGAGGAUGAUCAGCCACACUGGUACUGGAACACGGACCAGACUCCUACGGGAGGCAGCAGUGGGGAAUCUUGGUCAAUGGGCGAAAGCCUGAACCAGCGAUGCCGCGUGAGUGAUGAAGGCCUUCGGGUUGUAAAGCUCUGUGGGGAGGGGAGAAAAAGCGAGUUCUAACAGGACUCGUGUUGACGGUACCUCCUUAGCAAGCACCGGCUAACUCUGUGCCAGCCGCCGCCGUAA
rnacentral:rRNA from 1 species